CCCGCGGCGCAUUAGCUAGUUGGUGGGGUAAAGGCUUACCAAGGCAAUGAUGCGUAGCCGAACUGAGAGGUUGAUCGGCCACAUUGGGACUGAGACACGGCCCAAACUCCUACGGGAGGCAGCAGUAGGGAAUCUUCCACAAUGGGCGAAAGCCUGAUGGAGCAACGCCGCGUGGGUGAAGAAGGUCUUCGGAUCGUAAAACCCUGUUGUUAGAGAAGAAAGUGCGUGAGAGUAACUGUUCACGUUUCGACGGUAUCUAACCAGAAAGCCACGGCUAACUACGUGCCAGCAGCCGCGGUAAUACGUAGGUGGCAAGCGUUAUCCGGAUUUAUUGGGCGUAAAGGGAACGCAGGCGGUCUUUUAAGUCUGAUGUGAAAGCCUUCGGCUUAACCGGAGUAGUGCAUUGGAAACUGGGAGACUUGAGUGCAGAAGAGGAGAGUGGAACUCCAUGUGUAGCGGUGAAAUGCGUAGAUAUAUGGAAGAACACCAGUGGCGAAAGCGGCUCUCUGGUCUGUAACUGACGCUGAGGUUCGAAAGCGUGGGUAGCAAACAGGAUUAGAUACCCUGGUAGUCCACGCCGUAAACGAUGAAUGCUAAGUGUUGGAGGGUUUCCGCCCUUCAGUGCU
rnacentral:rRNA from 1 species